rnacentral:lncRNA from 1 species
GGGGACGAAUGUUCUUAAGGGGGGGAGAAUGUAAUACCCGGCUAGACUCCGGUAUCGGAAUCCCUACCGUCCGGUGGGACCUCGGAUGUCGGAAACCUCUAGCAGGGUAAAAAACUAUGAUUUUAUGAAAUGUUUUCAUGUAUUUCAUGCUUUUAAGUAAGAAAUUAAAUGAGUUUUUGCAUGAAAAAUCUUUGGAGGAAAACCCAGGUUCGGCC